rnacentral:lncRNA from 1 species
ACUGUGAGCGCGGGCCGGGCGGGGCCGGGGCGUGGGCAGGGGAGUGGGCAGUGGGUGCGGUCAGUGGGUGUGGUCAGUGGGUGUGGUCCCUGGGUGUGGUCAGUGGGUGUGGUCAGUGGGUGUGGUCAGUGGGUGCGGUCAGUGGGUGCGGUCUGGGUGUGGUCAGUGGGGGUGGGCAGUGGGUGCGGUCAGUGGGCGUGUCCCUGGGUGUGGUCAGUGGGUGUGGUCAGUUGUGUGGUCAGUGGGCGUGUCCCUGGGUGUGGUCAGUGGGCGUGGCCCCGGCCCCGCCCCGCCCCGGCUGACGCGCCGCCCGCAGUCCUGCACGAGGAGCCGGAGCCGCCGUGGCCGUUGGGCGCGGCGCGGCGCUCCCCGGUGCGCGGCAGCCUCCGGCCCUUCCUGCCCCGCCGCCGCGGCACCCCCGAGCCGCCGCCGCAGCCCGAGCCGCCGCCGCGCCGCGCCAGCUCCCUGGGCCGUGUCGGCCACUGAGCUUGCCCAGCCCCUCCCCCCUCCGGCCACUGACCCCCAACUCCGGCCACUGACCCCAACUCCGGCCACUGACCCCUCAUGGCCACUGACCCCUCAUGGCCACUGACCCCUCAUGGCCACUGACCCCAACUCCGGCCACUGACCCCAACUCCGGCCACUGACCCCAACUCCGGCCACUGACCCCUCAUGGCCACUGACCCCCCAUGGCCACUGACCCCCAACUCCGGCCACUGACCCCCAACUCCGGCCACUGACCCCAACUCCGGCCACUGACCCNCAGGUGGGGGUUUAUAGUUGAUAUCUUAUAUUUGAGAUAUUUUAUUUGAUAUUGCAUAGUUUGUAUUUGAUAUUGUAUGGAGUGUAUUUGAUAUUGUACAGGUUAUAUUUUAUAGUUUGUGUUUUAUAGUUUAUAGUUUAUAUUUCAACUUUCGGCCUCUGCUGGCCCGUCCCCCAGGUGGGGGUUUACAGUUUCUAUUUGAUAUUUUAUUUUUAAAUCUUAUUUUCUAUUUUCUAGUUUAUGUUUUCUAUUGUAUAAUUUAUAGUUUGUAUUUUAUAGUUUGUAUUUCAUCUCUCGGCCUCUGCCGGCC